rnacentral:rRNA from 1 species
GACGAACGCUGGCGGCGUGCCUAAUACAUGCAAGUCGAACGGAAAGGCCCUGCUCUUGCGGGGUGCUCGAGUGCCGAACGCGUGUGUAUCACGCGUGUAACCUCUCCCUGUCUUUGGGAUAACUCCUGGAGACUCGGGCUCAUAUCCCAUAUGAGCUCUUGCUGCAUGGUGUUUGUUGGAAAGUUACGGCGGUUCGGGAUGGACUCGCGGCUAAUCCGCUUGUUGGUGGGGUAGUGGCUUACAAAGGCUUUGACGGGUAGCCGGCCUGAGAGGGUGACCGGCCACAAUGGGACUGAGGUAGGGCCCAGACGGCAACGGGAGGCAGCAGUGGGAAAUAUUGCGCAAUGGGCGGAAGCGUGAGACAACAUCGCCGGGUGCGGGAAGACGGCCUUCGGGGGAUAAACCGCUUUGGCCUGUAACGAGGAGUGAGUGACGGUAAUGAGUAAGAAAGCAACGGCUAACUACGUG